rnacentral:misc_RNA from 1 species
GAGAAGAAACGGCGAUUAAGUGUAGAUCAAGUUAAGGCCUUGGAGAAGAACUUUGAGGUUGAAAACAAGCUUGAACCAGAGAGAAAAGUGAAGCUUGCCCAAGAACUUGGCUUGCAACCAAGACAAGUGGCUGUUUGGUUUCAAAACCGCCGUGCCCGUUGGAAAACCAAGCAAUUGGAAAGAGACUAUGGCGUUCUCAAAGCCAAUUACGAAGCUCUUAAGGUCAAUUUUGAGUCCCUCCAACAUGACAAUGAGACUCUACUCAAAGAGGUAAGAGAGCUGAAGGCGAAGCUCAACGAAGAAAAGACAGAGAGCAAUGUUUCUGUUAAAGAAGAGAUAAUCUUGACAGAAUCCGAUGAUAAAGCAAGUGAAGAGCCACCGCUUCUGGCUUCAGUGGCCGCAUCAGGGAUAAAAGACCUAAAUUAUGAGAGCUUCAAC